UUUUUUUUUUCUGUAUACUUUUAAUCUCUUUCUCUUCCUUUUUAGUACAAAAAGUAUAGAAGUGAAUUGGACCUGGAGACAACUUAAUUCGAUCUUCUCCUUUUUACAAUGAGUAACAGAAUCUUAGGAAAAGAAAUAGAUCCUUAAUUUGCCUUGAAGGCAAAUUGGAUUUUUGUUACAAAAUAUACAAAUCAGUCUCCAAUAAUAUAUAAUGUGUCCAAAUCUAUAUUGGCAAAGAUGUGACCCACAAUACUUGAGUACAAUAAUAGGGGAAUCCUCUAAAUGUGGAUAAAAUCUAUUUCAUAAAAAAUAAGAAAUUAAAGAAAUUUGGAAGUUUGGAAGCAGAAAAUACAAAACUCAAAAACAAGGUACUAUACAGAAGACUCCUACAAAGGUAACCCUAGGGGGUUGCUUGGAAUCCAUUUUAAAAUUUCAAAGUUUAAAGUGAAAUACAUAAAAGGUAAAAAUGUCACAGUAAUUUUAUUUUCUAGGUUUUUGGUAGGAGAAUGUGUAUAUUAAAAAACACAGAUAAAAGAUAAAACACACAAGUACAUCAUCUAUGAUUUUCAAUAUCACAGAAGAAAUGUAAAGAUAUUAUCUCUGUAAUCUCUUCAUAAGAAAAACUACAUCAGGAUUUUGGUAUAUGUAUCUAAAACUACUUCCUCCAGUUAGAUUUACAAAGGUUUGGCUUUGAUGCCUUUCUGAAAAGAAUGUGAGGUGUGGUUUUACAGACAUGAGAAUAAAGCACAUACUUUUUCAAGAGCAGAAUCCUUGCCCACCUGUUUUGUUACUCAGGGAAGGCUUUUACUCUAUCAACUUAUGUACUUCUAACUGGGAAGUGUCAAUCAUGAAGUUUUCCGGGGAGUAUGGCCCAAGUUGCUGCACAUUGAACUUGGUCGCCAACCAGGUAAUGGUGGUAGGUAGGUUUUACCACAGCAUGAACUUCUAUGCCUUCUACAAUAACUCUGAAUAAAGACAAUCAUUUCAGCCUAUAGAAAGCAACCUGUACUAUACACUGGAAAGAAGGUAACAACUGUUAGUAAAUGAGGAUAAUCAUGUUGCAUAAAAUAACAGCAUAUUUGGUACAGAUAGAAAUAUGCCAACCUUUUGAAAAUGAUAAAUAUCUAUGAGAUAAUAUAAUACUAUGUAAUAAUGGCUUUACCUUCUAUUUGCUUGGUAUUUAUGUAUGUAUGUAUGUAUUUUAAUGCUAUAGUUCAUUUAUUUAUUUAUUUGAGAGAGAGAGAGUGCAUGAGUUGGGGCAUGGAACCGAGUGAGAGGGAGAGAGAGAAUCUUAAGCAUGCUCUAUGCUCAGCAUGGAGUUUGACAGGGAGCUCAAUCUCAUGAUUCUGAGAUCAUGACCUGAGCUAAAAUCAAAGAGUUGGAUGCUUAACUGAUGGAGCCACCCAUUGCCCCUUGCCUGCUAAUUUUUAAAAGUAAGCUGUCUUUAAAAGUGACUCUGAAAUGUACAUUUUAACAAUUGUUAUUUCAUAAAUUAUGAUUAAGUUACUUGACUAUGAAUCUUAUGUCUAGGAUUGUUUGUACUAGUGAAAUAUUUUUCAGUGUUACUUUCCCAUUAUGAACUAUUAUAGCUAUUAUUAUACUGCCCAGUGACACUUCUAUUAUAUUAAAAUAGAUAUAUUUUAAUAUUCUUAAUAAAUGAUUCUUUUUGAUAAAAAGCUCUAUUUAUAAGUCAUAUUGGUACAUUUUUUAAACAAAAUACACUGCAAAAAAUCUAUUAAAAGUAAUAUAACAGGCAGCUCUGUGGGUCACUGGCAUUAUUCCAUUAUCUAUCUCCUAAAGAACUUGGAAAUAGGGACACAAAAAUGUUUUCAAAGAAUGAAACUAUGAAGUAAAUAAAUAAGGGAUCUGGACAGAAAUGUGUGAUACCAUCACAGAGUUACAAAAUUCCUCCAACCAACAUCAUCCCCCAACCAACAUAACUACAGAAACAAUGUAUCAUCUAUUAAAAUUUGGUCCCCAGUGAUACUGGAGAAAAGGGAAAAAUCCCAGGCAGGUCUUGGCAGUGUAUUCCCUUCUUCCAGUUAUAGUGCUCUUUCCAGAUAUCCAGGGAUGCUUUCCUUAUAGUUCUCAUUUUAAAGUAAUAAAGUAUUGGUUUUAUAUACUAGUCUCUGUGAAUUUGCUUAAUAUGAAUCUACUCCUGAUAGAUUCCCUGACAAAUGAAAUGUUUUAACCUGCAAAUUUGAAUCAAGACUUGUCCUGUAGUGACAUUGGCAAAAAAAUAAAAUAAAAUAAAAAAUAAAAGUAAAUAAUUUGAAAAAUGCCACUCUCUGGAGAGUUUUCUAUGCAGUCAAUUGAUUUUCCUUAAAGACCAACAAAUUCCUGGACAAUGUCCCUUUUCAUUGAAACUGUUCUAUUUAGGAUAUCCUUUGCCAAGUAUAUUUUAAGCUUCUCCAUCAAAGGUAGAAGUUGCCUCAUCGUUGUCUGUCUGCUCUUAACAGACACUAAAUAAAUGGCUAAGCAUUGUUAUGAAGUGAUAAAAUGCAGCCAUAAGAUAUUCUAAAGCUGUAGGAUUUUCCUUUCUUAAUGUAUUCUUCUCUUUGCCAAAAAAAACAGAUGCAUUAAGAGCAGAUAACUUUGAUCCAAACAAUAUCCUAUGUAUUUGUACAAAAGACUGUUUUGUUUCAUGAACAAAUUGCUCCAAUCAAGUGAAAAGUACAUCAGAAAAAUACCCUCAUACAAUAACAAAGAGUCAUUACAGAAAAGCUGCUAAUUUCCUGUUUAUUUAGUGAUCAUCAAAGCCUCUGGAGUAAUGCUCAGAACUAGUGCAAUGAAUUACUCUUAUGUUAAAUAUCCUGUUGCAUCAUAUUGAGUAGACAAUAGCAUAUAGUCAUAGUUGUCUAUUCUUUGUUAAGAAUUUCAUUCUUAGGAAUAUGUUGUCCCACUGGUACUUUGCUCUAAUUCAGGAUGUAGCAAGACAAAUAUUUAAAAUAGGUAUUAGAUACACAUAUUUUAUUUUUUAUUUUUUAAAAGAUUUUAUUUAUUUAUUCAUGAGAGACACACAGAGAGAGGCAGAGACAUAGGCAGAGGGAGAAGCAGGCUCCCCAUGGGGAACCAGAUGUGGGAUUCAAUCCCAGGACCCUGGGAUUCAGGCCCUGAGCCAAAGGCAGACACUCAACCACUGAGCCACCCAGGAAUCCCAGAUACACAUAUUUUAGAUUUUUUUCCAUUUGCCUAUUAAUGCCCUAACACUAAAUGAAACUAUUUUAGGGUUUUAGGGGAAAAAAAUGUGUUUUUUCCCACUCCAAUGCUUUUAAUUUUGAAAAAUAUUCUCCCUUUUUGGGAGAAACUGAUAAAAUGUUAAGACACUAAUCAAAUUACUCAAGGAUUCCCAGCAAAAUUGUUGGCACAAAAUUAAAUUUUCAAGCUCCUUAUCACUUCUUUCAAAUUUUUAAAAUCUAAAACUUCCUCAUUAUUUGAAUACUUAUUAAUGAGAAUACUCAUUAAUAUUAAAUGAGAAAAAUAGCAAGUUUUUUGUCACUUCAAGGUUGGACUAUGCGGACAGAGCUAAAGACAAAGGAUCACCUCUUCUUUCAAGCUGUAAAUGAAAAAUGCACAUUAAUUCUGCCAAUUUGCCAGGGCUAUUGGGAAGUUCUUUCACAUAGGCAUGAAGACACAUAACAAUCUAUAGCUGAAAAAAAACUAAAAACGAGUUAUUUUGUGAAUGGAAUCAACAUGUGGAGAACUAGAUGAGGUAUCAUUAGUGGUUGAGUAUGCAGGAACAUACUGAAAGUUCAUACAUAUCAAGAAGUCUUCAUUUCAUCAUUUCUAACUGAACAAUUUUAUACUAAGAGGAAUAAUACUUUCUCAUAUUUGAAUAUCUCCUUCACCAAAACAGGAAAAAGGAGUCAGUCUAUGAAUUGGCAACAGAUUCUCCUUUGGCUUCAGAAUGCUCAUUGUACAUAAUACCAAACAAGAAAAAGGAAGUUAUGGUUUCUGGCUUUGAGCAUUAGUGGGAAGUACAGCCACAUGGAUGCAAUUUGCAGACAUUCUUUAAUUUUUUUCCAUAAUAUAUUUCAAUUUCAUCAUGAUGACUUUACUUUUAGCUUAAAAAACAAAACAAAAUAGAACAAAGUCUAAAGAAAACUCAAAAUGCCUUCCUUUUUUUAGUUUAAAUUCAAUUACUUACCAUAUAGUAUACUACUAAUUUCAGAAGUAGAGUUCACUGAUUCAUCAGUUGUAUAUAACAUCUAGUGUUCAUUACAUCACGUACUCUCCUUAAUGCCUGUCACCCAAUUACCUUGGCCCCAACCUCCCUCUCCUCCAGCAACCCUUAGUUUGUGUCUAUUAGUAAGUCUCUCAUGGUUUGUCUCCCUCUCUGAUUUCAUCUUGUUUUAUUUUUUUCCCCAUGCUCCUCUGUUUUGUUUCUUAAAUUCACAUAUAAGUGAGGUCAUAUGAUAAUUAUAUUUCUCUGAUUGACUUAUUUCAUUUAGCAUAAUCCCCUCUAGUUCCAUCCAUGUCAUUGCCAAUGGCAAGAUUUCUUUCUUUUUGAUGGCUGAGUAAUAUUUCAGUGUGUGUCUUUGUAUGUGUGUGUGUGUGUGUGUGUGUGUGUGUGUGUUUGUACCACUACUUCUUCUUUAUCCAUUCAUCUGUCAAUAGACAUCUGGGCUCUUUACAUAGUUUGGCUAUUGAGGACAUUGCUGCUAUAGACAUGUGGGUACAUGUGCCCAUUUGGAUCAUUUCAUUUGUAUCUUUAGGAUAAAUACCUAGUAGUGCAAUUGCUGGAUCAUAGGGUAGCUCUAUUUUAAACUUUUUGAGGAUACUCCAUACUGUUUUCCAGAGUGGCUGUACCAGCUUUCAUUCCCACCAAAAGUGUAAGAGAGUGCUCCUUUCUCCACAUCCUUGCCAGUAUCUGUGGUUUCCUGACUUGUUAAUUUAAGGCAUUCUGAUUAGUGUGAGGUGACAUGUCAUUGUGGUUUUGAUUUUUAUUUUCCUGAUGCUGAGUGAUGUUGAGCAAUUUUCAUGUCUGUUUUGUAUGUGUUUGUAUGUCUUCUCUGGAGAAAUUUCUAUUCAUAUCUUCUGCCCAUUUCUUGACUGGAUUAUUUGUUUUUUGAAUGUUGAGUUUGAUAAGUUCUUUAUAGAUUUUAUAUACUAGCCCUUUACGUGAUAAGACAUUUGCAAAUUUCUUCUCCUAUUUUUAGGUUGCCUUUUGGUUUUGUUGACUCUUGCCUUUUCAAAAUGCCUUAUUUUAAAGAAUUAUAUUUUGGUUUUGGAACUAUGACUUGCAAAAUAUUAGGAUUGUCAUAUCUAUAUACACAACCUGUUUUACACUGAUAACUUUGCACGCAGGAGUCUGGCUUACCCAUAAAAAAACAUCAUUUGAUAGGCAAACAAUUGGUCAAAUUUCACUAAGCAAUAGAUUUGUCUGAAUUUCUACCAUAUUAUCUAAUAAUACCAAUUUCCCUGAUUGCCUUUUCGUGUUCUCCCUCUUUUCUUUUGCCCCACCUUCACCUCCAGUUCUUUUUGAAUAUAUGUUCUGAAUAUAUGUUCUCGUUACUUAAGCUGGAAUUAAUAUAAGGAAUAUCACUGUAUCUUAUUCAUCUCUAUAUUCAGUAAUAAAUCCCUGGGCUAGUCCUGGCAUGAAGUUGUUAUUUAAUACAUGUUUGCUGAAUAAAUAAAAAAAGUAUGUAUCAAAUUGACUUAAUUGACUUUAUUUAUAUCAACUCCAUUGGUAGGAAACACUUCAAACACUUCAUACUUGCUUACUUAGCUAACUGAAUGGUUGGCUAAGCCAAAUCUUAGGAGCAUUGCUUGUCAAUGCUCAAAUAAUUAUCUCAGAAUGAAAACUGCUAACCAUUUUGAGGCCACAGCAGUUGAGAAUCUUCAAGAAAGUUUUUAUUACCAAAUUGGAGUACAGUGGAUAUAAUAAUAUAAUUUGUUUUAGGUCAGUUUAUAUCAAUAUAUAACCAUAAAUAUAAAGUUUAAAAAAUUGCUAUUCUAUUUUGGAAGCCCUUUAUCAUUCACAAAAACAUAGUUAAAUCGAGUAAAUU
rnacentral:lncRNA from 1 species